rfam:Stegodyphus mimosarum contig47965, whole genome shotgun sequence.
GAUUUCGUGGUGUAGUGGUCAGCACGCUCGACGCGUAAGCGAGAGUUCUGUGGUUCGAUUCCCGGCGAAGGCG